rnacentral:lncRNA from 1 species
CUCUGCCGCCGCAUGGAGCCGGGCGCCUUCCGAGGUGGAGUCCGCAGGAGGGGCGUGCGCAGGGCUUGCGGGUUAUGCUGUCCUUCAGUUUUAAGAAGCUCAACAAGUGCUGGCGGGAGCACAGCACGCACCUGGGAGGCAACAAAGAAAUUCCUGUGUGCCAAAACUGGCACUUACAGCCACUCUUCUCUGUGACUGCAGUCAGUGCAUAACCUUCUGUCUCAGAUUCCCCAUGCAUGAAAUGAGGCUAGUAAUGUUUAUCCACCUACUGUGAGGGUUGAUAGAGCAAAUCAUUAUUAUUCUGUGGGGAUGGGAGGGCAGGAAGAAAUCCCAUUGAAAUAAUGAAUAUCUACAGGAGCAAGAGAACACAGAGAAAAGAAAGAGGCUUAGGGGCAUAUGCUCUUAUAGCACAAAGCAAAAUGAUUCUCCACUGAGAACAGCAUGAAUAUGAAAACCACACACCAGAUGCAGUAUGCCGAGCAUCAAAUGUAUGUAAAUUAUUCUGUUUGUCUUUUGGUGCAUUUCCUCAUCAUUCAUGAAUGGUUUUGUGCUUAACAUCUGAGAGAGAAUUUAAGGAGUUGGGUUCUGUUACAGUGGGUGUUGCAGACACACAGUUAGAGUUGGGAGGGAGUUUGGUG